rnacentral:rRNA from 1 species
GCGCAGCAGGCGCGAAAACUCCGCAAUGCCCGAAAGGGUGACGGGGGGAUUCCAAGUGCCUACGCUUAGCGUAGGCUGUUCAGGUGCCUAAAAAGCACCUGGAGGAAGGGCUGGGUAAGACGGGUGCCAUCUGUGGCAGCAGCCAAGAUUUGGCUUGCUACUGCAAGGCAUAAGCCGCCGCGGUAAUACCCGCAGCCCGAGUGGUAGUCGCUUUUAUUGGGCCUAAAGCGUCCGUAGCCGGUCUGGUAAAUGCCUGGGGUAAAUCGUGGGGCUUAACCUCACGAAUUCCGGGUAGACUGCCAGACUUGGGACCGGUUGAGGGAGAGGGUACUCCAGGGGUAGGGGUGAAAUCAGCAAGGUAAGCUGAUGUAACUUGCCUUGCAAGUCACAAUCCUGUAAUCCUUGGAGGACCACCGGUGGCGAAAGCGCUCUCCUAGGACGGGUCCGACGGUGAGGGACGAAAGCCAGGGGAGCAAACCGGAUUAGAUACCCCCGUAGU